AUCAAUGGCCAUACCGGUCUGAAAUGCCUGAUCUCGUCCAGAUCUCGGCUAUCAGACUAGGCCUGGCUAGUACUUGUAUAUGGGGAGACCAACUAGGAACCUCAGGUGCCAUAAGUU